CUUGAUCUUCAUCUCUCUCAAUCAUGUCAAAAUAAUCAGGAAAGAAUUUCAUAGAGCAAGUACAAAAAGAAGGAUAUAUUGGGGGCAGAAGCAAUGUCUG